rnacentral:rRNA from 1 species
GGGGAGCAAACAGGAUUAGAUACCUGGUAGUCCACGCUGUAAACGAUGUCGAUUUGGAGGUUGUGCCCAUGAGGCGUGGCUUCCGGAGCUAACGCGUUAAAUCGACCGCUGGGGAGUACGGCCGCAAGGUUAAAACUCAAAUGAAUUGACGGGGGCCCGCACAAGCGGUGGAGCAUGUGGUUUAAUUCGAUGCAACGCGAAGAACCUUACCUACUCUUGACAUCCAGAGAACUUUCCAGAGAUGGAUUGGUGCCUUCGGGAACUCUGAGACAGGUGCUGCAUGGCUGUCGUCAGCUCGUGUUGUGAAAUGUUGGGUUAAGUCCCGCAACGAGCGCAACCCUUAUCCUUUGUUGCCAGCGGUUCGGCCGGGAACUCAAAGGAGACUGCCAGUGAUAAACUGGAGGAAGGUGGGGAUGACGUCAAGUCAUCAUGGCCCUUACGAGUAGGGCUACACACGUGCUACAAUGGCGUAUACAAAGAGAAGCGACCUCGCGAGAGCAAGCGGACCUCAUAAAGUACGUCGUAGUCCGGAUUGGAGUCUGCAACUCGACUCCAUGAAGUCGGAAUCGCUAGUAAUCGUAGAUCAGAAUGCUACGGUGAAUACGUUCCCGGGCCUUGUACACACCGCCCGUCACACCAUGGGAGUGGGUUGCAAAAGAAGUAGGUAGCUUAACCUUCGGGAGGGCGCUUACCACUUUGUGAUUCAUGACUGGGGUGAAGUCGUAACAAGGUAACCA